UCCGGAGUAGCUCAACGGUAGAGCGGGUGGCUGUUAACCACUAGGCUGGGGGUUCGAAUCCCUCCUCCGGAG
rnacentral:tRNA from 1 species